UAGAGUUUGAUCCUGGCUCAGAUUGAACGCUGGCGGUAUGCUUAACACAUGCAAGUCGAACGGCAACGACUUUGUUUCUUCGGAAACAAAGGGCGGCGAGUGGCGGACGGGUGAGUAACGCGUAGGAAUCUACCCUAAAGCGGGGGAUAACCCGGGGAAACUCGGGCUAAUACCGCAUAUGUUCUACGGAAUAAAGCUGGGGACUUUUGGGCCUGGCACUUUAGGAUGAGCCUGCGUCGGAUUAGCUUGUUGGUAAGGUAAAGGCUUACCAAGGCGACGAUCCGUAGCUGGUUUGAGAGGACGAUCAGCCACACUGGGACUGAGAUACGGCCCAGACUCCUACGGGAGGCAGCAGUGGGGAAUAUUGGACAAUGGGCGAAAGCCUGAUCCAGCAAUACCGCGUGUGUGAAGAAGGCCUUCGGGUUGUAAAGCACUUUCAGUGGGGAGGAACGCUUUAGAGUUAAUACCUCUACAGUUUGACGUUACCCACAGAAGAAGCACCGGCUAACUCUGUGCCAGCAGCCGCGGUAAUACAGAGGGUGCAAGCGUUAAUCGGAAUUACUGGGCGUAAAGCGCGCGUAGGUGGAUAAUUAAGUCGGAUGUGAAAGCCCUGGGCUCAACCUAGGAACUGCAUUCGAUACUGGGUGUCUAGAGUAUAGUAGAGGGAAGUGGAAUUUCCGGAGUAGCGGUGAAAUGCAUAGAUACCGGAAGGAACACCAGAAGCGAUGGCGGCUUCCUGGGCUAAUACUGACACUGACGCGCGAAAGCGUGGGUAGCAAACAGGAUUAGAUACCCUGGGU
rnacentral:rRNA from 1 species